rnacentral:rRNA from 1 species
UACGUAGGGAGCGAGCGUUGUCCGGAAUUACUGGGUGUAAAGGGUGCGUAGGCGGGAGCGCAAGUCAGACGUGAAACCUACCGGCUUAACUGGUAGCCUGCGUUUGAAACUGCGAUUCUUGAGUGAAGUAGAGGUAAGCGGAAUUCCCGGUGUAGCGGUGAAAUGCGUAGAGAUCGGGAGGAACACCAGUGGCGAAGGCGGCUUACUGGGCUUUAACUGACGCUGAGGCACGAAAGCAUGGGUAGCAAACAGG